AACGAACGCUGGCGGCAGGCUUAACACAUGCAAGUCGAACGCGAAAUCACCUUCGGGUGGUGGAGAGUGGCAGACGGGUGAGUAACGCGUGGGAACCUACCUAGUGGUACGGAAUAACCCAGGGAAACUUGGGCUAAUACCGUAUGUGCCCGAAAGGGGAAAGAUUCAUCGCCACUAGAUGGGCCCGCGUCGGAUUAGCUUGUUGGUGAGGUAACGGCUCACCAAGGCGACGAUCCGUAGCUGGUCUGAGAGGAUGAUCAGCCACACUGGGACUGAGACACGGCCCAGACUCCUACGGGAGGCAGCAGUGGGGAAUAUUGGACAAUGGGCGCAAGCCUGAUCCAGCCAUGCCGCGUGAGUGAUGAAGGCCCUGGGGUUGUAAAGCUCUUUCGGCGGGGACGAUAAUGACGGUACCCGCAGAAGAAGCCCCGGCUAACUUCGUGCCAGCCGCCGCGGUAA
rnacentral:rRNA from 1 species